rnacentral:rRNA from 1 species
UACGUAGGGUGCAAGCGUUUAAUCGGAAUUACUGGGCGUAAAGCGUGCGCAGGCGGUUUUGUAAGUCUGUCGUGAAAUCCCCCGGGCUCAACCUGGGAAUUGCGAUGGAGACUGCAAGGCUAGAAUCUGGCAGAGGGGGGUAGAAUUCCACGUGUAGCAGUGAAAGUGCGUAGAGAUGUGGAGGAACACCGAUGGCGAAGGCAGCCCCC